UACGGAGGGGACUAGCGUUGUUCGGAAUUACUGGGCGUAAAGCGCACGUAGGCGGAUUUGUAAGUCAGGGGUGAAUCCCGAGGCUCAACCUCGGAACUGCCUUUGAUACUGCAAAUCUCGAGUCCGGAAGAGGUGAGUGGAAUUCCUAGUGUAGAGGUGAAAUUCGUAGAUAUUAGGAAGAACACCAGUGGCGAAAGCGGCUCACUGGCCGGUACUGACGCUGAGGUGCGAAAGCGUGGGAGCAACAGGAUAGAACCUAGUACGUCCGA
rnacentral:rRNA from 1 species